UCUCCAUUUCCCACGCUCUCUCGCCGGUCAGAUACGGCGAGAUAGUGUGGGAAAUGAAGAGA
rfam:Pristionchus pacificus strain PS312 contig1958, whole genome shotgun sequence.